AGCAGCCGCGGUAAUUCCAGCUCCAAUAGCGUAUAUUAAAGUUGUUGCAGUUAAAAAGCUCGUAGUUGAAUUUCGGGAUCAAUAUAUCGGUCAUGCUUAGGUAUGUACUGGUAUUAUUGAUUUCUCCCUUCUGAAGAACCAUGAUGUCAUUAAUUUGAUGUCGUGGGGAAUCAGGACUGUUACUUUGAAAAAAUUAGAGUGUUUAAAGCAGGCAUACGCUUGAAUACAUUAGCAUGGAAUAAUGAAAUAGGACGUUUGAUUCUAUUUUGUUGGUUUCUAGGAUCGACGUAAUGAUUAAUAGGGAUAGUUGGGGGCAUUAGUAUUCAAUUGUCAGAGGUGAAAUUCUUGGAUUUAUUGAAGACUAACUACUGCGAAAGCAUUUGCCAAGGAUGUUUUCAUUAAUCAAAGAACGAAAGUUAGGGGAUCGAAGACGAUCAGAUACCGUCGUAGUCUUAAUCAUAAACUAUGCCGACUAGGGAUCGGAUGAUGUUAAUUUUUAAUGACU
rnacentral:rRNA from 1 species